CAGUUCACACUGAAGUCGGCAAUCCUCAAAAGGCAGUGACAGCCUCAGCUUAUAAAUAAGGCAGCACGUGAAGCAUUUGAAGACAGGCCAAAGUGCCUCAAAGGCAGAAGUGCCUCAAGACCGAAAGGUCUCAGAGAGGCUCAACAGCCUCAAGCCACCGCAGGCAGAGCAGACUCAAGGAGAGAGCCCCAAGCCAGAGAGAGGACGUCACGCCACACGCAGGUGGAGAACCUCAAGCCAGAAAGGAAGCCACCAGGUGCAAAGGUGAGCUUUAGGGAAGCCACAUGCAUGUGAGCUUCAGGGAAAGCCUCCAGCAGUGAGAGCUUCAGAAUAGGAAGUCACCAGGUGCAACGGUGAACUUCUAAGAGAGAGGCGCCAUAGCCUCAGUAGCUUUGUGUGAGCAAGCUAUCCUUCCGUGAUUAAGAAAGGAAAAUAUAAUAGCUGAGUGUAUGCUUGUAUUAGUUAGUUUGAGUGCGAGUAUUUUGGGUAUGUGGUGUGAGAGAAAUUGUAUUGUAAUAAUUGUGUAAGAGACAUUAUUUGAGAGUUAUACUUGUACCGCAGUUUAGUA